GUUGGCGUGUAUGGUCAUGUUGGGUCCCUGCUCGUGCAGCGACAGCAUCCAUUGUGCGAGCCUCUUCAUUCUUUGGCUAAAGUGCUUUUUUGGCUUGGCCGGCGUCCGGUUUCUUGUGCUGCAUACCUAUUUCAAGGUAUUCGGUUGGCUAWAACGUCCCACUUCCGCCUCGUGCUGCGCCUCUAUGGAUGCGGCGUGGGGUGGACCUGAAAGCGUUCGUCGCGUUCCACAUUCCGUGCAAGUACUGAUGUACGAGCUCGGAAUGUUGGCCCGUGUCGGCAUGCUCGAUCUCUCGGAUGCGGAAAAGUGAGCGGGUACGAGGUCCCCCGGGCCUCUAUUUGCCCCAAAACGAGCGUUCUACGCUUAUUGCGAACGACCGCCGCUACCRUUUUGUGCGAGUCCUCGCGGCUCGUAUCAUGCGGUUGUGGCGUCGAUGARGAAUGCUAC
rnacentral:misc_RNA from 1 species